GCAUAACGCGAAGAACCUUACCGGGGCUUGACAUCUUUCUGACCGCCUGGGAAACCAGGUCUUCUUCCUUCGGGAAGACGGAAAGACAGGUGGUGCAUGGUUGUCGUCAGCUCGUGUCGUGAGAUGUUCGGUUAAGUCCGGCAACGAGCGCAACCCUCGUCCUAUGUUGCCAGCACGUUAUGGUGGGAACUCAUGGGAUACUGCCGUGGUCAACACGGAGGAAGGUGGGGAUGACGUCAAAUCAUCAUGCCCCUUAUGUCUUGGGCUUCACGCAUGCUACAAUGGCCGGUACAAAGGGCUGCGAUACCGUAAGGUGGAGCGAAUCCCAAAAAGCCGGUCUCAGUUCGGAUUGGGGUCUGCAACUCGACCCCAUGAAGUCGGAGUCGCUAGUAAUCGCAGAUCAGCAACGCUGCGGUGAAUACGUUCCCGGGUCUUGUACACACCG
rnacentral:rRNA from 1 species